GGUAAAAUGGCUGAGAAUAAGCAUUGAACUGUAAAUUCAAAGACAGAGAUAGAGUCUCUUUUUACCA
rfam:Sarcophilus harrisii ctg7180002510238, whole genome shotgun sequence.